UAGCCGUAAACGAUACUCGCUAGGUGUCGGUCACGGUGCGACCGUUGUCGGUGCCGUAGGGAAGCCGUGAAGCGAGCCACCUGGGAAGUACGGCCGCAAGGCUGAAACUUAAAGGAAUUGGCGGGGAGCACCACAACGGGUGGAGCUUGCGGUUUAAUUGGAUUCAACGCCGGAAAUCUUACCGGGACCGACAGCAACAUGAAGGCCAGGCUGAAGACUUUGCCGGAUUAGCUGAGAGGAGGUGCAUGGCGUAGUCGUGU
rnacentral:rRNA from 1 species